AUUCAUUCCAUUUUCAUUUCUCUUUGAGUGAUCCUGACAAGCAGAGGGUCUCAGGUGGAUAUUACUGUGUCUUUGAGACCUCUCUAAUCCUUAUCUAUCUCUCAUUUUAAUACAGAGAGUUUCAUACGCAGACCUUAAGUAGACAUAGUAUCCAGCUAAAAGGGUCUCACUCUGUCACCCAGGCUGGAGUGCAGUGGCGCAGUCAUGGCUCCCUGUAACCUCAACCUCUCAGACUCCAGCAAUCCUCCUGCGACAGGGAGGCAGUCAAUGGUGAAUGCUGGCCUCGCUGAUUACUCACCUGGAGACCUUUCUGAGGAUCAGUUUUCUCAUCUAGAAAAUGGGACAACUGCCAGACCACUGAAGAAAAUACAGAAAACAGCCCCACACAUCAGCAUGUUUGGUUGCUGCCAGUCUACUUGGAUCUGAGUAUUUUUUCUUGCCAUGAAUGUGACGUGAUUAUCUUCUCCUACAUCACACUGAAGUUUUAUGAAUGAUGCUUUGAAGUGGGAAGGGCCAGAGAGUUAAUAUUUUCGGCUUCUUGGGCCAGCUGGUCUCGGUGGCAGCUACUGAGCUCUGCCACUGCAGCAGAGAACGGGCACAGGCGAUAUGGAAAUGAUAGGCGCGGCUGUGUUCCAAUAAAACUUUAUUUACAAAAAUGG
rnacentral:lncRNA from 1 species